AGGAUGAACGCUGGCGGCGUGCCUAACACAUGCAAGUCGAACGAAGCACUUAGCAGAUCCUUCGGGUGAAGAUAUGGUGACUGAGUGGCGGACGGGUGAGUAACGCGUGGGUAACCUGCCCUGUACAGGGGGAUAACAGUUAGAAAUGACUGCUAAUACCGCAUAAGCGCACGAUGGUAGCAUUACCAGGUGUGAAAAACUCCGGUGGUACAGGAUGGGCCCGCGUCUGAUUAGCUGGUUGCGGGGUAAGAGCCCACCAAGGCGACGAUCAGUAGCCGGUCUGAGAGGAUGAACGGCCACAUUGGAACUGAGACACGGUCCAAACUCCUACGGGAGGCAGCAGUGGGGAAUAUUGCACAAUGGGGGGAACCCUGAUGCCAGCAACGCCGCGUGGGUGAAGAAGUAUUUCGGUAUGUAAAGCCCUAUCAGCAGGGAAGAUAGUGACGGUACCUGACUAAGAAGCUCCGGCUAAAUACGUGCCAGCAGCGGC
rnacentral:rRNA from 1 species